CGGGAAUUUUGGGCAAUGGGCGAAAGCCUGACCCAGCAACGCCGCGUGAGGGAUGAAGUAUUUCGGUAUGUAAACCUCGAAAGAAUGGGAAGAAUAAAUGACGGUACCAUUUAUAAGCUCCGGCUAACUACGUGCCAGCAGCCGCGGUAAUACGUAGGGAGCAAGCGUUGUUCGGAUUUACUGGGCGUAAAGGGCGCGUAGGCGGCGCGGUAAGUCACUUGUGAAAUCUCUGAGCUUAACUCAGAACGGCCAAGUGAUACUGCCGUGCUAGAGUGCGGAAGAGGCAACCGGAAUUCUUGGUGUAGCGGUGAAAUGCGUAGAUAUCAAGAGGAACACCUGAGGCGAAGGCGGGUUGCUGGGCCGACACUGACGCUGAUGCGCGAAAGCCAGGGGAGCAAACG
rnacentral:rRNA from 1 species